rnacentral:rRNA from 1 species
CGAGGGGGAGGCAAGCGUUGUUCGGAAUUAUUGGGCGUAAAGCGUGCGCAGGCGGUGAUGUAAGACAGAUGUGAAAUCCCCGGGCUCAACCUGGGAACUGCAUUUGUGACUGCAUCGCUGGAGUGCGGCAGAGGGGGAUGGAAUUCCGCGUGUAGCAGUGAAAUGCGUAGAUAUGCGGAGGAACACCGAUGGCGAAGGCAAUCCCCUGGGCCUGCACUGACGCUCAUGCACGAAAGCGUGGGGAGCAAACAGG